rnacentral:rRNA from 1 species
AUCGAACGCUGGCGGCAGGCUUAACACAUGCAAGUCGAGCGGGGGAAGGUAGCUUGCUACUGGACCUAGCGGCGGACGGGUGAGUAAUGCUUAGGAAUCUGCCUAUUAGUGGGGGACAACAUCUCGAAAGGGAUGCUAAUACCGCAUACGUCCUACGGGAGAAAGCUGGGGAUCUUCGGACCUUGCGCUAAUAGAUGAGCCUAAGUCGGAUUAGCUAGUUGGUGGGGUAAAGGCCUACCAAGGCGACGAUCUGUAGCGGGUCUGAGAGGAUGGGCCGCCACGCUGGGAAUGAGACACGGCCCGGAGUGCUACGGGAGGCAGCAGUGGGGAAUAUUGGACAAUGGGGGGAACCCUGAUCCAGCCAUGCCGCGUGUGUGAAGAAGGCCUUAUGGUUGUAAAGCACUUUAAGCGAGGAGGAGGCUCUUUUGGUUAAUACCCAAGAUGAGUGGACGUUACUCGCAGAAUAAGCACCGGCUAACUCUGUGCCAGCAGCCGCAGUAA